AUGCUCUGGAAAAAAUUGGAUUCUGCUCCUGCCUGUACUGUGAAGUUCCAAUUUGUAAGUAAUAGUGUCUUUUUUCCUCUUGGGUUCUACAGGCUUAUUCUAGCAGCUAAUAGGGAUGAAUUUUACCACAGACCAUCCAAAUCAGCCGAGUUUUGGGACAGCAGCAAUGAGAUCCUUAGUGGUCUGGAUAUGGAGGAGGGAAAAGAAGGAGGGACAUGGCUGGGAAUCAGUAAGAAAGGCAAGAUGGCAGCCCUGACAAACUAUAUGCAGCCAAAGAUUGAUAAAAAUGCAAAAGGAAGAGGUGCUCUUGUAACAAACUUCUUGACUGCAGAUCUCGACAGCUACUCUUACUUGAAGAAAGUUUCAGUAGAGGGACAUCUUUACAAUGGAUUUAAUUUAUUAGCAGCUGACUUGAAUACCACCAAAGGAGAUGUAAUUUGCUACUAUGGAAACAAAGGAGAUCCAGAACCUGUUUUCCUAAAUGCUGGAAUAUAUGGAUUGAGUAAUUCUUUGUUGGAUACACCAUGGAAGAAACUUCAAUAUGGGAAGCAGCUUUUCACAGAAGUGGUCAAAAGAAGUCAAGACCUUACCAAAGAAGAUCUAGUGAAGGAGCUUCUUACUGUGAUGAAUAAUCAAGAACCUCAAUUACCAGACCCUGCAAUUGAAGACCAAGGGAAGGACUAUAUCCGUCCUAUGUUGAACAAGUACGCAGCUUUAUGUGUUCGUUGCCCGGGUUAUGGAACAAGGACGAACACGGUCGUGCUCAUCGAUUCUGAGGGACACGUUACUUUCACCGAGCGCAACAUGAUCAAUGCUGAUGUCAACCAGUGGAAAACAAGCACCUAUGAAUUCAAACUGCACAGUUAACAACUUUCCACAUGAAUGGUUUGUAAUAAUAGCAAUGACAGAACAAGCCAUUAAGCUCUAGUAAAUGUUUUGUGCCAGCCUCCACAAGCUAAAAAUAGCAAGGAAAGCAAAAGUUUAAAUAAACUGGUAGCAUACCCUAUCAAGCUCACAAAUGCUUUGGAGAAAACCAGAUGAAGAUGCUGUUUUUACAUGAAGUAGCAACUUAUAAUGAGAAAUAUUUUGUUUAAUACCACCCCGCUUUCAGGGCAAGGCCAUCUUUGUCCAAGACAAAGUCAUUACUUUUUUGUGGGUGUGGAUUUUUUUAAAUAUGUUAUAAGUAGACUUAAACUUGUUUUUAGUUAUAAUGGUGGGGAAAUAUUUGCAGCUUUUAUUGUUCUAAGUGAAGGUUUUAGCAAACUUUGCUUUACCUUCAACAUAUGCUGUUAAGAUUGUACAGCUGAUGCCAGUGUGCAUUAAAUGAAUGUAUGUUAUCCUGGUAGUAUUAAGUGCUUUAGUCUCAUUUAAGCUUUUCAGUGCCAUGGUGCAAUGUUCUGCCUGGGGAGGGCAGAGAGCGGGGAUUCUUUACAUUUGUUUUUCUAUAGAUAGUACAGCAAUAGAUCUUAUUUCUUUUUUAUCUGAGAAUCAAGGUAGAGCAUUUAGUUCAGUCUCUGUUCACUUUUACUGAAAGAACCAUGGGAGCAGACUUGUUAUCUUUGACCUGAAUAAAACUAUUUGUGCUGUAACAUCCUGUUUCCUGAUAGUCUAAUGAGCAAUAUUGUUUUUGUUAUUUUCUUCCCUGGCAAGCAGGUAAGGAAUAGGUACCCAUUUGCAAACAGAAGCUGAAGAUGAGGUUUUCAUGUAUUGACUGUUCUGUGCAUACAAAAUUUUGGUUUAAUUUCUUUGUUGGUAUAAUGUGUUACAGCCUGGAGUGACUGCUCAUAGAUUUUUAGUAAAAAUAGCUUGUGUGUUGUGAGGUGACACUGUUGUAGUCUUAUAUUGUUGAAAAAGUUGGAUAUUAAGAGGUACUUCCUAUGUUCUAACACCUGUGAAUUAAAAAGCUAAUUAAAUGCAUGCUUUUUUCAAUUAUUCAGCACCAGUGUAGGUAGUAGAAGAUUCUAGCUAAUACCAGGAUAUUUUAAAACCCUAAGCUAUUUUUGUUUCUAUUGGUGUUCUGUUUUGACUUACUUUGAAUACUGAAUAUUAGUUUAGUAGUGGAUCACCAAUAUUUUUUUUCCUUUAGGUAUGUUUUACUGUAUUUUCACAAGCCUCUGAUUUUAAUUAAUUAUUGAAAUGUAGCCAAAUUUUUGAUACUCUUUGGAAGAUGUGCGGCUGUGUUUCUGUACUCAAGCUGGUGUGUUUGGGCAUUCCUCUGUGUGUGUGUGUGUCUCUAUACUGGAGGCAGUAAAUGAGACUCCAUUGAGGUGAAGUACUGUGAAAAGCCAUUCCCAGAUUUGUAAUUGUCAGGAGAUACUAAAGCUGUAUUUAUUCAAAUCUCUUCUUUAUAUUUGCAUAUUUAAAUAGCUUCUAGAUACCAGGACUGCUUACAUGACUAGACACAGGUUGUGGAUUCAGUUCUGUAUAAAUGACUUUUUGACCACCUUGAUGUCAAGACAAUCAACAAUCGUGUUGGGUUGUACAUGGUUUAGAACUCAAAGCCUUCCAGACUGUCCUGAGCUGCAGGAAAUGGAAAGGGCCCAAACCUUGGAUGUUGUUUUUUGUCGCAUCAGAAUAGCUAAUAAAGAGGUUUUUAACUUCUUUGGAAGCUUGUGAGAGUUUUGUCAUUGGCUUCAGUGGAAACAGGACUGGAAACAGACUGCUGUGCAGCUAACUGCAAGUGGUGCUUGCCCACAGAAGUGAUAAGGUAUUUGUGGAGUGCAUGAUCUACUGUGUGCAAAUUAGAGUUGCAAUGAAUCCACUGGAAAUGUGAGACUGUACCUACAGUUAAGAAAGAAAGUGUUUUAUUUUUAUAAAAGUAUUUUUAAUAAUAAAAGGGAAUUUUAAAUACCAGUUUUAAAGGAUAUAAAGGAAAAAAGUGUAUAUAGGAAACUAUUGCAUCGUAUUUUACUAAGUUUGCUUAUACAUAUCAUCUCUUCAAAGUCAUACAUUUGCAAGAGAUUUUUUUCCUGAUUUUUUUUCUAUUGGAAUGGUAGUGGAAGAAAUUCUAAAAUGUGUAAAACCUCAGUUAUGUUUUAUUGCUUAAAAUUGUGUCAUAGUUGUUGUUUACAUAUGUGUUCAAAACUAGAAUCAGAAUAAAGUCAAGCUGGUGACCAGUCUUUGUUGACAUUAGUAGAUUGUGCAUUUUUGCAC